ensembl:lncRNA
AUGAGAACUGGGGUCUGGUUGCUAGGUGGCGUGAGGAGGAGUCCGGGAGGAGGGCCUGCAGCACGCAGGGCACCCAGGUGUUUCCGUUCCAGGACCUCCCGCAGGCACUUUGCUCUCUCGAGGUUCUGCCGGAUCCGGCUUCGUCUGGGAACACCGGCGAAGGUAGCGGUGCCUUGGGCAGGAUUCUGCCCGUCUCUGAGCCUCCCUUCCACCUUGCUGCAUUCCAGCCUGGCCUCUGCCUGCUCCUCCAUCAGGUCCCCGCUUACAACCGCCAGCAACCCCUCCUUCACCAGGCCCACCUUUGGCCCUCAGGGCGCUGGCUGUUGGGCUGGUUUUUCGAGAAAGCAAUACGGUGACGCUAUUCUUCAAAGGAAAGACUCCAAGAGUAGGAGUGAUAUCUCCUGGGACAAAUUCGAGACACCUCACAGCUGCUGGCAGCAACGACUGGACCCAAAAAUGUGGGCAAAUUCUUCACCAUCUGAGCCACCAGAGAACCCCAGUGGCGACAUGGUGCUCUCUUCUGUUUCCAUCUUGAAGGAGAAACAAGAGUUUCCUCUACGCCAUGCUGCAAAAGGAAGGGGCGUGAACAGGUGCCCCAAAUGUGAGUUUUCCCACCCCUGUUGUUGGAGCCCCUUCUUGAUUUUACAGUAGUCUGGGUUCCGUAGCUUCUCGGUUGGUCUCUAGACUUCUCACAGAGGUUCUCUAGCCCAUAUACUGUUGUUGACGCAGUGUCUUUGUGGGGGAGGUGGGCCUGUGGGAUUCUAGUCCACUGUCUUGCUGAUGUCACUCUCCAGUCAUUGAUUCUUUUUUGUGGAUAAUAUUCCAUUGUAUGGAGAUGCAUUUUAUCCAUCCCUUUAUCAGUUGAGGGACAUUGGGUUGCUGCCACUCUUUGGCUAUUAUGGAUAAUGUUGCUGUGACCAUUUAUGAACAAAUUUUUGUGUAGACCUGUUUUCAGUUCUCUUGGGUAUAAACCUAGGAGUAAAAUUACUGCAUCUUAUGAUCAUUCCAUGUUUAACUUUUUAAGGAACUUGCCAAAUGUUUCCCAUGGUACCUGCACCAUUGUACAUUUCUGCCAGCAAUAUAUGAAGGUUCUGAUUUCUCUAUAUCCUCAGAAGAACUUACCAUCUUUUUAAAAUGAUCUUCCUACUGGGUGUGAAGUGGUAUUUCACUGUAGUUUAGAUUUGUAUUUCCCUGAUGGCUAAUUUCAUAUUCUAAUUGGCCAUUUUUAUAUCUUUUUCAGAGAAAUGUCUAUCCAAAUACUUCACCUACUAUUUGAUUAUUUGUCUUUUUAUUGUUGUAAGAGCUUUUCAUAUAUUCUGGAUAAAAGUCCCUUAUUAAAUAUAUGAUUGACCAGUAUUUUUCCCCUCCUCUGGUUUGUCUUUUUACUUUCUUGAUCGGGACCCCUGAGAACACAAAAUCUUUUCAUUUUGAUGAAUUUCAAUUUCUAUAUUUCUAUUUUAAUAGAAAUAGUGCUUUUAAUUCAUACCUAAUAGAUCAUUACCUAAUCCAAAUUAAUGAAAAUUAUGCUUAUGUUUUCUUUAAAGAGUACUUUAAUUUUAGCUGUUACAUUUGGGCCUUGUGUCUAUUUUGAGUUAAUUUUUGUAUAUGGUAUAAUAUAUUGGUCAGACUUNNNNNNNNNNNNNNNNNNNNNNNNNNNNNNNNNNNNNNNNNNGUUUAAAAAGCUACUCUAUUAAAUUUUCCUGUCAUUCUUGUUGGAAAAUCAAUUGACCAUAAAUGCAAGAGUCUUUCUGAAUGGACUCAAUUCUAUUUCAUUGAUCUAUUUGUCCGUAUCCUAGUCUAACACUGUUUUGAUUACUGUAGUUUUAUAGUAAGGUUGAAAAUCAAGAAGCUUAGUAUUUCAACUUUUGUCCUUUUUUUCAGGAUUACUUUGAUUAUUCUGGGCCUUUUGAGUUUCUUUAUGAAUUCUAGGAAAAGCUU